rnacentral:rRNA from 1 species
GGGCCCGCACAAGCGGUGGAGUAUGUGGUUUAAUUCGAUGCAACGCGAAGAACCUUACCAGGGUUUGACAUCCUGCGAAUUUCUGGGAAACCGGAAAGUGCCUUCGGGAGCGCAGUGACAGGUGGUGCAUGGCUGUCGUCAGCUCGUGUCGUGAGAUGUUGGGUUAAGUCCCGCAACGAGCGCAACCCACGUCUUUAGUUGCCAGCAUUUAGUUGGGCACUCUAACGGGACUGCCGGUGAUAAGCCGGAGGAAGGUGGGGACGACGUCAAGUCCUCAUGGCCCUUAUGAGUGGGGCUACACACGUGCUACAAUGGCGGUGACAAUGGGCAGCUACUUCGCGAGAAGAUGCUAAUCCCUAAAAACCGUCUCAGUUCGGAUUGCACUCUGCAACUCGAGUGCAUGAAGUUGGAAUCGCUAGUAAUCG